CGUGAGCAAUCUGCCUUUAAGAGGGGGAUAACAGUCGGAAACGGCUGCUAAUACCGCAUAAAGCAUCAAAUUCGCAUGUUUUUGAUGCCAAAGGAGCAAUCCGCUUUUAGAUGAGCUCGCGUCUGAUUAGCUGGUUGGCGGGGUAACGGCCCACCAAGGCGACGAUCAGUAGCCGGACUGAGAGGUUGAACGGCCACAUUGGGACUGAGACACGGCCCAG
rnacentral:rRNA from 1 species